UUGUUUUCUAAAAUUCUUGUUACGAAUAUUUUAGAUAAGGAAUUUUUGUUAUCGAAAUCGUACAGGCGGGAAAUUAUAUAAUCGGUUUUGACAAAACUGGUUUACGUGCUAACAUUUUUUGUCGAGUGAAACUUUGCAAAUUAUUUGAAUUUCGAGAAUACUUUUCAUUUCUCUGGAAAAGACAAAAUUCGUAUUACAUAAUCUAAUAUAUAAUAUAUGCGGAUAAUACGUAAUUUCUGUAUAUCGUAUUAUAUGUGUAAUUUCCACAAUAUCGUAUGUCUCGUCUGCACCAAGUUUAAUUGCUCCUUAUUGGUACCUCCGGGAACGCGCGAGAGAGUGUACUUCUGGUAUAGGUGUCGAUGACGAGUGGUGACUAUGGUCACGUGGCACUGGAGAUGCGAUCGGGUGACGAGUGUGAGCUCAGGAGGAUGUGAUUAGGUGUAUGAGCGACGACGCUGCGGUGGUUAAUUAAGGGGAAUGUAGAGCUUGAUUGGAUCUUGGUGGAUUUAGGCGGCGAGUAUGUUUAGUGUGUUUGAGACAUAACGUAUGUGUUUGAAUUUUGAGCGGCAUAUGAACAUUAAUUUCCAUUUCAGGAAUGUAUUUUGAGAGUGUGACUUGAUCUACGUUAUGGAAGUUGGAAGAGUGAUGUAUGGUUACGUCUAAAGUUUCAAGAUGUUUUCUUCGAGGCAAUAUCGCUUUAAGGAUUCAAAUUCUUGCGACAUAAGAAGUCAGAUUCUUCUAACAAGAGGUGCGAAAUUUUUAUGAAAUCCUAGAAAUUCCUCCAUCGCGUAUUUCGUUCGAGGAAUCUUCGUUCGCCGAAACGACGUCGUUAGCUCCGAAUAAUAGAUAACAAACUAAAAUCCACGAAUUCUUUAUGUAACGAGAACUUUUCUUCCUUUCUUCAUUCGUAGAACCUCUAUUAGAGAUGAUUGAAGUUCGACUUAUUUAUUUCAAUAGCGAUGAAAAAUAGAAUUUAUUUUGCAUAGUCAAAUCAAUAUCCUUUAGUCGUAUAACAUUUUCGAUCAAAGAGUCAUUUUCUGACAAUGACAGUAUUCUAAGCUGUUUUAUUUUUUAAAUUCUGUAAAUUCUGUGGAAUACACGAUGAUUUCAAGCUUUACAUUACAAGCUGUACAUUAAAUACACGCAUAUUUUUGGAUUAUGUUUGUAUCAUUACUUUAUUGAAAUAUCAUAUUAUGUUAUUUCAUAUAUAGUGUAAUAACAUGAAUAAUAUGUACGUUAUAUUAUACAUAAUAUAAUAAUUCAAUAAAAUAGUAACACGAAGAUAAUCCAGAAGAUAUAUGGGUUAGAAAUGAUUCGACAACGAUCAUGAUCCGACGAAGUCAUACGCCACAUAAAAAUCAGACUAUUUCCUUCUAUAAACAAUAACAGUGUUGAUAAUCUCUGUUAUAUGGAACGUAAAUUCCUAUGAUUUUCACGUUUCGAAAAGUUUGGAAAGAACUUGGCAAAAGGGUACCUGCAAGCGAUAUUUGGCCCGGUAAGAGAAUCGGUUCGCGACCAGCUAGUUCCGUAAUCGUAUUUUUCAAUUUCCUGCCGGGCCGCGACCCAUUACGAGAAGUUAAUAAUCGGACUGCUCGAUUUCCCGAAAUAAAUGUCCCCUUUUCGCGCUUUCUGUCAGCCCCCCGCGAGGAGAGUCCGUUUACUGAUAAAGCGAUCGUUCCGUUGCGUGUAUACAAGCAGAAAUAGCUACGAUCGAACUUCCAACUAAUGUAUACUCAUAUGUAUCACUUUUCAUCUGUGUAUACGGGUACUUACUUUCAAAUAACUGAUGUAUAUAGUUUAUAACACCGGUGGUACUUGUUCGAACCAUGGGACGUUCUAAUUUUAUCAGUAAUGGGGUUGGUAGACAUACGAAGGGUUGAUCCCAUUAGGGCGAAAGAUAAAUUUUUUGUUUGUUUCCGAUGUUUCAGAGUUACGAAGUUGAGGGAUGAAGUACAUUUGGAAUUAAAUUAAAUUAAAAGUUUUAGGUAUGUGUGUGGGUUUAUUUAUUGUUAUUGGAAAUGAUUUAUCCUGGCUGGCUAUUGAGUGAUAAAAACUUGUAAUUGAAGAAUUUUUUUGUUUUUAGAAUAUGAGUGAUGCGAAGGUAUAUUUUAUAUUUUUGUUCUUUUCAAUGUGAUUUUGUGAAUGUGGUUUUAUUAAGAAAGAUGGUACUUAUUAAAGGUGGAAAUUUAGCAGUAAAUAUAGAUUAAUAGUACCAAGUAAAUAUAGAAAUCGAACACUUUUAUAUAGAAUAAGAAAUAUUCCAUAUUUACUAAAAGCAAAAGAAAAUUAUUUUCAUUCGUGUUAAAAUUAAACGUUACUUAAACGUUAUAUCAAAAUAUUGAACGCGAAAUGUUAAGUGUUACACACUAUGUACGUGAACAUGUAUAUUUAGUAUUAUUUUUACAUUUUCAAAUAAUUGCGAGCGAUACUGUAUGUGGUACAACUCGGUGUUGAUAUCACGGUAUGGACUACAUGGUAAACUGUUCCGUUUUCUCUCUCUCUGUUCAAUUCGUUCGUCUCGUUGUCCCUCGACGAGCAUUUGAAUACCAUCUAUGUACUACAUGUGUAUCGCGCUUACGUAUCUCUGUUUCGACUGGAGGACAUACACGUGUUCCCAAGUAAAUGACUUUCUUUCUUCCUUUUUUUUUUACUCUUUAGAUUCAUGUACUGGUUGGCCAGUAAUAUUUAUUCUUUUUUUUUUUAUCAAAAAUUAACUAUUGAAAAUUAUAAUAAUGGUAUUGUUCUUCGAUGUAUAGUGCGGCAAUCGAAGGUUCUGAUCAAAUUGAAUAGAAAAUUGGAAUUUCACUAAAUUUUAUGUACGCAGUCAAGUUUUACAAGCGAAUAAGAACGAAGUACACGAGACGCGUUGUCGAAUUAACAAGUUGAGAUUGUACAAAGGAGACUGGAAUUUGGUAGGAUCAACCGGCUUGUAGUUAGCGUCUCUUUAAAUAAUCAGGCUUCCGACAAAUAGAGUUUCCGGUGAUCAACGUUCAGCAAGUUUAGAAGCAAUCAGGCUUCUAUCAAUCAGUCUUUAGUUAUCAUCUCCUGAAGCAAUCAGGCCUCCAGCGAUCAGCUGCUAAAUAAUUAGAUAUACUUUGACUAGGUUGUGACAAUAUUUGCUUGUAAAAUAUAUCCUUCGUAUUUGUAUAAUUUCUAUUUUAUCGUAAUCUUAUAGUUUUUAACGAUGUGCGAAUAAUUCUUCGUUAACUUUCUCUAAACUGAUUUUGAUUUUUUAAUCCUUUCAACCACUUAACAUAGUAACUGAACUAUCUUCUUAUUAAACGUAGUUAUGGAGCUUAGUUCUCUCCAAACGGAUUAUAUUUUUGGAUCGAACAGGCUGUUCUUCUUUUUAACCAUGUUAUGUUAAAGUACAUUUUUUAAAUCAUUAAAUAAUAUUGAAAUAAGAAAAUCAACAGAAUUGUGUUUAUCACAUUUUUUCUCUGUAACCUUCAAUUGUAUUGAAAAUGAAUGGUUGCACUAGCAUAAGAAAAAAGAAACGGUAUAUUAAACUGUUUCGCUAAAGUAUCACAAAAUUUAUAAAAAUAUUGAACAGUAUAGCUUUGUUGUCAAACACAUAUGUGGUUAUUUAUUUUACAAUAAAUAUUUCGUUUAAAAACCA